AUCCUGUUCCUGAGCUCCUCUAGGCUUCUAGGAUAAGGGAUUUGAAGAUGCCAAACCUGUGAUACCAGUACCAUACUCCUCAUUUGGAAUUGAUCAAGAUUCAAGGAUUAACUCUGCCUAGAACCAGACUUGUCUGCAGUUUUUGGGUCUGGUGUAAAAUAACAUCACCAAGCCAUUUUGCGAUUGAUAGUGUAGACCCACUCUUAGCCUUACUUCAACAGCUUCAACCGUGAAACGCG
rnacentral:misc_RNA from 1 species